UCUCCCAGGUUUUUCUUGUUCAGUCAUCAAGUGCUGGAAGCUCUUAGAAAGUUUCAGGUGCCCUCCAGACUCUAAGACUUGGCUGUGCUGUUCCCUCUGCUGAAUUCUCUCUGCCUGGAUUCUCAUCUGUGGCUUCUCCUGUGUCCCACCAGGUCAUGGUUUAGUUUAUCAAGUCACACAGGGCCUGGCGGUCCAAUCAUUCCUGCCCUCCCGCCAUGCUUAGAGGUCACUGUCUCCCUGGGCUGAGUUGAGGCAGUUGUUUCAAGCUCCCACACAGACCUCUUUCCUCACAUAGAUCAUAGCUUUCAGGAUCUUGUGGAUCCGUCCACUAAAAAGGCCAUGGAACAGGGACUUAUCCAUCCUUCUGUCACAUUCUUUGAUUUGUGUGUAUGUGGGCGUAGGAGGAGGGUAAAUGUAUGUCACAGCUCAGCAGAGGGAAACUUGUAAGAGACAGUUCUCUGCUUCCACCAGUUGGGUCUAAGGAAUUGAACUCAAGUAGUUGGGCUUUGUGGCAAACUUCUUUACCCACUGAGCCAUCUUGCUGCCCCCCCCCAUCUGCCUUUUGCAGGGGGUGGGAGGGAUACAGGGUCUCUUUAUAUAGCCCUGUUUGUCCUGGAACUCGCUAUGUAGACCAGGCUGGCCUCAAUCUCACAGAAAUCUGCCUGCCUCUGCCUCCUGAGUGCUGGGACUAAAGGUGCUUGCCACCAUGCCAGGUGCUUUUUGCACCAGCCCUGCCUGCUUUUUGUGGUGGAAUUCUUAGUACCAGCCAUUCAGAGAGUAUACUGUAAAACUCCUAUUUCAUAGCUGUUUCCCAGGGCCUGCCCACUACCCUUCCCUGAAAACAUAGCUUGGUGAGCAUCCUGGGAGGUAUUCUGCCCAGGGAAUAUCAGUUUAGGUGGGAGAUCUAUCAGGCUGAAACCUGCCCUCACCCCUCCUGUCCUUACCCUCCACAACCCCAUAUGUGUGCAGUGCUUAUCCUGGUCGGCGUGGGACUGGAGGUGGCCCCCUCACCAGGUGAGUUUCGUUCCUGCCUGGGUCUUUUGGCAAACCCUCCCAACUCCCAGCACAAAUUAGCCACCCUCCUGGAGAGAGGGAGGUCUUCCCAGGCAGCCAUCGUCCCAGGGACCCCUGGUCCUGAGCUGUCUGUUUCUUUCUACCAUAGGUGUUUCCAGCGCCAUCUUCUUUGUGCCAGGCAUCCUACUGCUAGUCCCAGGAGGUAAGAGUGCUGUGAGAGUGGGGCAUGGGUGGGACAGGGACAAGUACCUUCACUGACAGACACCACCCCCACAGUCUACCAUGUGAUCUUCAUCUACUGUGCUGUCAAGGGCCGCCGGGGCUUCCAGUUCUUCUACCUGCCCUACUUUGAGAAGUGAGCUGCCAGUGGCUUCCCAGUGAUCCAAGGCCUCAGGUCACCUCCACGUGUCCACAGGGUAUUCCUCCAACCUACACCCGGUUCUGUCCCUUUCACCUGGAAGACAGAGGCCCUCUGAGACCCUCACCACCACCAGGCCUCUUUGGAUUUGCUCAGGAAGUUUGGGACAUGCCAGCCUGGGGAUAUUGCCCUUAUCUGAUGUGUGCCUUAACUUAUCCCUGGGCCCUGGACUCCUGGGUUGGUUUAAUUUUGUGCUAAUAAAAGGGUAAUUACUUCCAGC
rnacentral:lncRNA from 1 species